AACUGAGUGAGCACACGCAAGCUGGCAUGGCAAGGAACCCACAAUACCUCAGAGGUCUGCUUAUAUCUAUGGUCGGGAUGAUGACCCACAGGCCUGAAGACCUGGAGCUGUAAGCAUGCGGGGUUCCCUGACCAGAGAUCUAACCCCUGCCCCUGGAGUGGAAGUUCAGCAUCCUAACCACUGGACCACCAGGGAAACCCCAGUUUGGAAUGUUCUGGAAUUAUAUAGUGGUGAUGGCUGCACCACUCUGUGUCUAUACUAAACAUCUCUGAACUGAACACCUUAAAUGGGUGAAUAUUAUGGUGUGUAAAUAAUACCUCAAUAAUGUUGCUAAACAAAGAAAUGAAUAGACGUGA
ensembl:lncRNA